AUCUUCAGGGCAGGGUGUAAUUCCCUACCGGUGGUAUAGCCCACGAGCCACAAGGCAUGAUUCGGUGAGACUCCGAAGCCGACAGUAUAGUCUGGAUGAAAGAAGAU
rnacentral:ncRNA from 1 species